rnacentral:rRNA from 1 species
AUUGAACGCUGGCGGCAUGCCUUACACAUGCAAGUCGAACGGCAGCACGGGAGCAAUCCUGGUGGCGAGUGGCGAACGGGUGAGUAAUAUAUCGGAACGUGCCCAGUCGUGGGGGAUAACGCAGCGAAAGCUGUGCUAAUACCGCAUACGAUCUCUGGAUGAAAGCGGGGGACUCGCAAGGGCCUCGCGCGAUUGGAGCGGCCGAUAUCAGAUUAGGUAGUUGGUGGGGUAAAGGCCUACCAAGCCUGCGAUCUGUAGCUGGUCUGAGAGGACGACCAGCCACACUGGAACUGAGACACGGUCCAGACUCCUACGGGAGGCAGCAGUGGGGAAUUUUGGACAAUGGGCGCAAGCCUGAUCCAGCAAUGCCGCGUGCAGGAUGAAGGCCUUCGGGUUGUAAACUGCUUUUGUACGGAGCGAAACGGUCUGCCCUAAUACGGCGGGCUAAUGACGGUACCGUAAGAAUAAGCACCGGCUAACUACGUGCCAGCAGCCGCGGUAAUACGUAGGGUGCGAGCGUUAAUCGGAAUUACUGGGCGUAAAGCGUGCGCAGGCGGUGAUAUAAGACAGAUGUGAAAUCCCCGGGCUCAACCUGGGACCUGCAUUUGUGACUGUAUCGCUAGAGUACGGUAGAGGGGGGAUGGAAUUCCGCGUGUAGCAGUGAAAUGCGUAGAUAUGCGGAGGAACACCGAUGGCGAAGGCAAUCCCCUGGGCCUGUACUGACGCUCAUGCACGAAAGCGUGGGGAGCAAA